GGCAGCAACGCAGGUAGCAACGCAGGCAGCAACGCAGGUAACAACACAGAAAGCAACACAGGUAGCAACGCAGGCAGC